AACGAACGCUGGCGGCAGGCUUAACACAUGCAAGUCGAACGCCCCGCAAGGGGAGUGGCAGACGGGUGAGUAACGCGUGGGAAUCUACCCAGAUCUACGGAACAACAGUUGGAAACGACUGCUAAUACCGUAUACGCCCUACGGGGGAAAGAUUUAUCGGAUUUGGAUGAGCCCGCGUAAGAUUAGCUAGUUGGUGGGGUAAUGGCCUACCAAGGCGACGAUCUUUAGCUGGUCUGAGAGGAUGAUCAGCCACACUGGGACUGAGACACGGCCCAGACUCCUACGGGAGGCAGCAGUGGGGAAUAUUGGACAAUGGGCGCAGGCCUGAUCCAGCCAUGCCGCGUGAGUGAUGAGGCCUUAGGGUUGUAAAGCUCUUUCAGUAGGGAAGAUAAUGACGGUACCUACAGAAGAAGCCCCGGCUAACUUCGUGCCAGCCGCCGCGGUAACAC
rnacentral:rRNA from 1 species